GGGGGGGGGGGGGGGGGGGGGGGGGGGGGGGGGGGGGGGGGGGGGGGGGGGGGGGGGGGGGGGGGGGGGGGGGGGGGGGGGGGGGGGGGGGGGGGGGGGGGGGGGGGGGGGGGGGGGGGUGGAAACAGAGGGGCCCUGCCUGGGGAUCGCACCCCAGUCCUCGCCCCGCGGGGGCUCCUGAGCCGGGCGAGCAGGGCUGCCCGCGUUGGUGGUCCCUGGGGAGCGCUGCCAGCACCCGCCCGUGUCCCAGGCAGCCCUGAGGAUGAAAGACGGUGGAGUGACGGUGCAGAGAGUCCCCAGCCCUGCGGGACGGCGGGUCGGGCCACCCGGGUGCUGGCGUGACGCCGAGUCCCAGCAAGGGAAGGGCGCUUGACCUUGCGUGCAGCCUUCACAUUUUCUCGCAGGAAUGUGAGCAGUGCCGUGUCUCUGUGGGCAGCAAUGGCCUCGGCCACCACGCGCCUCCUGCCUGCACCCUGCUCCUUAUCCACACCCCGGCUGUCGAUGUGAAACAAAGCUGAGAGAUAGAGACACGAUGGGGACAUGCACCGUCCUUUCUCUGCUGCUGCCAUGGGCACCGGCUGCAAGACAGGAAAGUUUGGACAAGGAUACAGACCAAGCUGAAAGGCCUCGCCAUGGAGCAGCUCCUGACAAGGUCUGUGGAAACCAGGAUAUCCCGGAGGAGCUCUGUCAGUUCUCACAUGACCUGCUGAAGGGUUUGGAGGAUUCCAUCACACAUGAAGGGAGCAGCAGCACUGGCAUUUCCAGCAGGGAGAAGAUGCUUCAUUUGAAAACAUCCCAGUUCCCUGGGUCAUUAGCAUCUGACAUGGCUGAGAAUCACAACAGCAUUGAAUCCACGCUGGGAACUGACAGACCCCAGAGUGCAGCCCCUGUUCUCUGCUGCGCUGCUGGAGCUGGCGGGGGUGAGCAGGAGCACAGGAUCCCCGCUGCAGCCUGGCUGCUGGGGCCACUCUGCAAUCUCCCCUGCACUCAGGAGACACUGCCUGGCAGCCCGGGGCAGCAGAGAGUCUGCAGUGCUGCGAGAGAGGUUGCACUGAGCGGAGAGAGCAUCUGAGCACGCAGGGAGGUGACCGCGUGUGGCUUCGGCACGGCCGAGCCGCGCUGCCCCGCUGCAGCUGGAGCGCCCACGUGUCCCCAGCAGCAGGGACAGGCAUGGGGGCCUGUGGCACGGCCGCCCCGGAGGAAAUGGGCCGGGAAAGGCCUUGGGGAGGCAAACGGCUGCGGGAGUACGGUUAGCUGCACCCCAGGCUGCUGAGAGGCCCCUGUUUCCCCCUUGCCCGCUGUCCCGCCGAGAUUAGCGCUCGGCUGGCUGGGCUUGACGGGCAGGCGGAAGGGGCCGCGCACACGAGCACGGCAGGGCCGCCCGGAAACACGGGCAGAACGGGCACCGGGCUGCCCCAAAACACGGGCAGAACGGGCACCAGGCUGCCCCAAAACACGGGGCAAAACAGGCACUGGGCUGCCCAAAAACACGGGGCAAAAGGGGGGGGGGGGGGGGGGGGGGGGGGGGGGGGGGGGGGGGGGGGGGGGGGGGGGGGGGGGGGGGGGGGGGGGGGGGGGGGGGGGGGGGG
ensembl:lncRNA